rnacentral:tRNA from 1 species
CAUCGAUCUCGAUGGGCAGACCAUCCGCACUGCGGUGCGGCCGGGCAACAGCCAGCUGGUGCCACUGCUGAUCUUCAACGGCAUCGGUGCC